rnacentral:ncRNA from 4 species
GGUAGCCAAAUGCCUCGUCAUCU